rnacentral:rRNA from 1 species
UACAGAGGUCCCAAGCGUUGUUCGGAUUCACUGGGCGUAAAGGGUGCGUAGGCGGUCGGGUAAGUCUGACGUGAAAUCUUCAAGCUCAACUUGGAAACUGCGUCGGAUACUAUUCGGCUAGAGGAAUGGAGGGGAGACUGGAAUACUUGGUGUAGCAGUGAAAUGCGUAGAUAUCAAGUGGAACACCAGUGGCGAAGGCGGGUUGCUGGGCUGACACUGACGCUGAUGCGCGAAAGCCAGGGGGAGCGAACGGG